rnacentral:rRNA from 1 species
CCGGCCUGAGAGGGUGUCCGGCCACACUGGGACUGAGAUACGGCCCAGACUCCUACGGGAGGCAGCAGUGGGGAAUAUUGCACAAUGGGCGCAAGCCUGAUGCAGCGACGCCGCGUGGGGGAUGACGGCCUUCGGGUUGUAAACCUCUUUCAGUAGGGACGAAGCGCAAGUGACGGUACCUACAGAAGAAGGACCGGCCAACUACGUGCCAGCAGCCGCGGUAAUACGUAGGGUCCGAGCGUUGUCCGGAAUUACUGGGCGUAAAGAGCUCGUAGGUGGUUUGUCGCGUUGUUCGUGAAAUCUCACAACUCAAUUGUGAGCGUGCGAGCGAUACGGGCAGACUGGAGUACUGCAGGGGA